rnacentral:rRNA from 1 species
GACAGAGGUUGCAAACGUUGCUCGGAAUUACUGGGCGUAAAGGGCGCGUAGGCGGACAGUUAAGUCAGAGGUGAAAUCCCAGGGCUCAACCCUGGAAUUGCCUUUGAUACUGGCUGUCUUGAGUAUGGGAGAGGUAAGCGGAACUCCGAGUGUAGAGGUGAAAUGCGUAGAUAUGCGGAAGAACACCAGUGGCGAAGGCGGCUUACUGGCCCAUUACUGACGCUGAGGCGCGAAAGCGUGGGGAGCAAACAGG